AUACGUAGGUGGCAAGCGUUGUCCGGAUUUAUUGGGCGUAAAGAGCUCGUAGGCGGUUGCGUAAGUCGGAUGUGAAAACUCGGGGCUCAACCCCGAGACGCCAUCCGAUACUGCGCUGACUUGAAUCCAGUAGGGGGGUGUGGAAUUCCUGGUGUAGCGGUGAAAUGCGCAGAUAUCAGGAGGAACACCUAUGGCGAAGGCAGCACUCUGGGCUGGUAUUGACGCUGAGGAGCGAAAGCAUGGGUAGCAAACAGGAUUAGAAACCCCGGUAGUCC
rnacentral:rRNA from 1 species